CUGAGAUCUGACUGGGCAGAGACAGAGAAUAGGCAAUUCAUGCUGGAUUUCCCCUAGAGGAAAGACAGAGGCAGUAUAGGUUAUAUGUAGGGGUCUGUGAGGACAAAAAUCUGACUAAAUGCUGCCAAUUGCUUGGGAUGAGAUAAGACACUGACAAGACUCUUCUUGGCCAGUUUAAUGAAGCUCCUUGGAAUGUUCUUCUCAACUAGGCCUCAAACUUUGGCCUCUGUGUCUGUCUUCCUUUUCCCUGUUUUGGCAAGAAUCUUGUCAUUUUAUCUAGAUUGAAAACCCUUGAUAUCUGAUCAUCCUCAAUACCUGAGCAAGCUUCUCAUGCCCCACAGUCUCCCAGAUAUUGAAUUUAAAGAAGAGUGAGCAGUUGAAGAAAACCUUAAAUUGUCUAGUCUUGGAGGCUUGGAUCAUAACAAUGCUGUUUCCAGGAAAGAGGAAGCUGGAACAAAAACAGAGAUGCCUUAGGAGAAGAUAAUAGAUGUUUUAAAACCAGGAGAAGAAUCGUACACCUGAUUUGAGGUGUUUGAAAUAGAAGUGCAGUAGGAGGUGCACAUCAGAGGUCUCGAAGUUUGGUCUGCAGAGACAGGGAUUGAGCUCUGCAAGGUGCAUCGGUGGGAGCAGUUAUUACCUCACAGCACAGUCCUCACCGUCUUUGUACAAGACAGGAGUUCACUGUUGAGCUAGAAAUCUGAUGGCACAGGACAUAUCUAGACUUAUUGCUGUAUGCCCUUCAGCUGGAGUGAAUGGAGACAAGGCUGUACAUGGAGGCCUCCUGCCGUAAGACAAAUCAGUUCCUGAAGUGACUGGGUUUACUUUUGUUCUCCUUUGUUUUUCAACUAGUUUUCGAGUUCCUGAGACAACCAUGUGACUAUUCGAAGCCCCUACAUGAGUUUUUGCAGUGAAUCUAAAGGGACUUCUAUGUCAGCCUCCCUGGACUUACAGGCUCUUGAAGAGCAGACCUCAUGAGUGUGGACAAGGAGACAGGCUAACCACCUUCUUCCUCCUAUGCAGUAGUGAAAGCUGAGCCCUGCCAGAAUAGAAACUCAACCUUAACCCAUCAUCAUUACCAAGAAUGACUUUUGAAGCCCUCCUAUGGAUACUCUGUUCAGGAUGCAAUAAUAUACCGUAUGUCUUCUGAGUCAGUUAGAAAAAUGAGUUAGAGAGAGGCUGGAGGGGAGUCCCUGACUCAGAGGACAGGAAGAUGCAAAACCAGAACAGACAACAGAGGACCUCUGGAGGAAAACUGAAAUGUGCCACAGAGAAUCCAGAAGAGAUUCCUGCCUGUUUCCUGAUAAAAUACUCAGGUCUUAGGAUCAAAGCUGCACAAGAUUCUACUGGCUCAAGCCACUGUUGCUUUGUCUCCCUAGGAUAUCUCACCGUCACACGACUUUAAUCAAGACAUCGGUUAUAAAAGAAGACCUAACUGAUUCUUCAACGGGAACAAAUGAAUUCAAUCAUUCUGAGGCUGCAGUGUGACUUAAGCUAAUUAAUACCUAGGCUUUUAAUCUUUGUCAAAGAGUACUCCCCAGUGACCCUAAUUCCUCACCCUUGGUCCAAAGGUAGCAUGUUUUCCACAUUCAGGUGUAUGGAUUGGAUGAAUGCACUUCCUCUUAUUCAUGACAUGACUGAUGGGGGUGACUCCAACUUAAUUAUUGGAUAUGGAAAAUUCACCAGCUUUCCAAGUAACAGCCAGGUUCUAUAGCACUUACAAGGGCAUCCUCCUCUUUCAGAGUCAUAAACCACUUGUCGUGGACCCUUCUCUUCCAAACUUGCUACAACAAAAGCAGUAUAUAUAUGUCAAUCUCUUUGAUAUAUUGAAAUGUAUCACUAACUCCUAGUACAUAUUUUUAUAGGUGAGUAUAAGUUAACUUUUUCUGUAUGUAAACACUGUCACUUCAUGAUUUCUCAAGGUUAGGUAACAACAACCUCCCCAACCAAAGAAAAAACCUUUCAAAGAAUUGUCUGUACACGAUUUAGGCUAAUUAAAUA